GACUGCAGAGCACCAAGAACCUGGUGAAAUGGUACACGAUCUGGAAGGACAAGCACAGGGUUUACGAAUCCUAAAUCAGUACAAGAUGGAGCACCACCCCUCACCCCCAUCGCCCCCCGAAGACUUUUAAAA